GCGAACGCCGGCGGCAGGCCUCACCCCUGCCAGUCGCACGAACCUUUCGGGGUUAGUGGCGGACGGGUGAGUAACACGUGGGAACGUGCCUUUAGGUUCGGAAUAACUCAGGGAAACUUGUGCUAAUACCGAAUGUGCCCUUCGGGGGAAAGAUUUAUCGCCUUUAGAGCGGCCCGCGUCUGAUUAGCUAGUUGGUUGAGGUAAUGGCUCACCAAGGCGACGAUCAGUAGCUGGUCUGAGAGGAUGAUCAGCCACAUUGGGACUGAGACACGGCCCAAACUCCUACGGGAGGCAGCAGUGGGGAAUCUUGCGCAAUGGGCGAAAGCCUGACGCAGCCAUGCCGCGUGAAUUAUGAAGGUCUUAGGAUUGUAAAAUUCUUUCACCGGGGACGAUAAUGACGGUACCCGGAGAAGAAGCCCCGGCUAACUUCGUG
rnacentral:rRNA from 1 species